AGCGUAGGCGUACUGUCCAAAGUUUACGGCAGCAUGGUGUGCAGAUGCCAACCAGAUCACAGUUGUGAGCACGCUUACCAGGUUCGGCUUGCUAUUCAUUUCCACCCACCAUGUCUCGUCUUUCUUGUCACCGUGACCAACGUUAACAAUUUCCGUCCACCAUGCCUGUAGUUCCUUGUCACUCUCUAUGUCUGCGUCAUCUUCGUAGCAGCUAUCUACAUAUUCCUGUGUCCACCUCUCAAUUGCAUCCCAAAUCUCCAAACCGUCUGCUGCAUAUGGAUAGUCGUUGAUAGCCAGUUUGAGGCCAUGCUUUGAGUUUGCAUCUGGAGUUGCCAUUCCCCUGGAAAAUGUUCGAACUUUUAGAUUGUUUUACAUCCCUUGCGAUGCCUACCUUUUCAGUAAAUCUGCAGGAAGUCCUUGGUCGUCGAACCUCCAUGUCCUAUAGACAACGGAGCUCAACUCCAUUGAGUACCUCCUUGUUGAGAAGCAUUUCUCUAUUAUACCAUCAGCAUUUAUCAGUGACUGCCUGGCUCGAGCGUUGAUUGACAUUGUGUUCUUGAAGUGUGGAACCAGGAACGGAUUCAAGGGAUGAAGCGCACUCAGGUUUCGAUGUGUCGCAAUGAUAAAAGGUUCCAGGCAGGCAUGAGUUCUUAAACUGCAGAGGAAAAACAUGUCAGGUAUGAGAGACGGCAUUGUUGACAGCUUACAAGUGACUUAUGAGCUGGUGAUAUCCUGAAUCAUUUGUAGUUACGUGUGCUUUUGCGAGAUGCCAUAACCAAUCCUCUGUUCCUGGUGCAGGUGGAAGAAACACCCUUUUGUUUUCUGACUUGGAGGAAGAAUCCGGUGGCAAGCUCAACUCGAUGGCAAUAGGCUUUAGAGUUCCAUCCGCUUUGAGGUACAGUAGAGUUCUGGAUGCGUAAGCGUGGAUUUCCUUGAUGCUGUUGAUUUUGGUCAAGUAAGGCAAGUAUGCAUCAUGGUAGUCUAAGAUGAAUAGCUUCUUGUUCUCAAGUGCCUGCUCAUAUGAGUCAGUAAAAAUCGUCACCAAGUUCCAUUUUUCUUACUUGCUGGACUGUGUUUCCUUCAAGCUGAGAGACAAUAUGUUCUUCUGUAAUGGCUGACUUUUGUGUUCCGUAUACUGCUGGGUCCAGCGUGCUUUCUGGUGGAAAAACCUGCAUACAGCGGGUCAUUUUUCUUACCAGCAUUUUGAAACUAGAUUACCUCUAGUAGCUGAAUCGCCAUGGGGUUUAGUCCGCUGAUCAUCUGCCUUGCGAAUUCGGCGUCGGACAUCCAUCCUUUCUCGUUGGCU
rnacentral:lncRNA from 1 species